AUUGAACGCUGGCGGAAUGCUUUACACAUGCAAGUCGAACGGCAGCACGGGGCAACCUGGUGGCGAGUGGCGAACGGGUGAGUAAUACAUCGGAACGUGCCCAAUCGUGGGGGAUAACGUAGCGAAAGUUACGCUAAUACCGCAUACGAUCUACGGAUGAAAGCGGGGGAUCGCAAGACCUCGCGCGAGUGGAGCGGCCGAUGUCAGAUUAGGUAGUUGGUGGGGUAAAGGCUCACCAAGCCAACGAUCUGUAGCUGGUCUGAGAGGACGACCAGCCACACUGGAACUGAGACACGGUCCAGACUCCUACGGGAGGCAGCAGUGGGGAAUUUUGGACAAUGGGCGCAAGCCUGAUCCAGCCAUUCCGCGUGCAGGAUGAAGGCCUUCGGUUGUAAACUGCUUUGUACGGAACGAACGGCGAGCUCUAAUACAGUUUGCUAAUGACGGUACCGUAAGAAUAAGCACCGGCUAACUACGUGCCAGCAGCCGCGGU
rnacentral:rRNA from 1 species